GGCAACUUUUGAUUGUUUUUUUCAAAUGGUUUCUUUCUCUCUCUCUCUCUCUUUUUUUUGAGAUGGAGUCUUGCUCUGUCUCCAGGCUGGAGUGCAGUGACACGAUCUCAGCUCACUGCAACCUCCUCCUCCUGGCUUCAAGCGAUUCCCCUGCCUCAGCCUCCCAAAUAGCUGGGAUUACAGGCACCUGCCACCAUGCCCGGCUAAUUUUUUGUAUUUUAGUAGUGAUGGGGUUUCACCAUGUUGGCCAAGACGGUCUCGAUCUCCUGACCUCGUGAUCUGCCUGCCUUGGCCUCCCAAAGUGCUGGGAUUAGAGGCGUGAGCCACCACGCCCUGCCUCUUUUUUUUUUUUUUUUUUUUUUGAGACAGAGUCUGUCUCUUGUUACCCAGGCUGGAGUGCAGUGGCGCAAUCUCCGCUCACUGUAACCUCUGCCUCCUGGGUUCAAGCGAUUCUCCUGCCUCGGCCUCCCAAGUAGCUGGGAUUAUAGGCACCCGCCACCACGCCCGGCUAAUUUUUAUACUUUUAGUAGAGACGGGGUUUCACUGUGUUGGCCAGGCUGGUCUCGAACUCCCAACCUCAGGUGAUCCACGUGCCUUGGCCUCCUAAAGUGCUGGGAUUACAAGCGUGAGCCACCGCCCCCGGCCCUUUUUCAAGUAGUUUCAAUCUAGGGUUGGUUGAAUUAGCAGAUACAGAAACCUCCAAUACAGCAGGCAAGAGGCAACUUUCAUUUUAUUUUUGUUUCUUUAUUUUUAGAGAAAGGGCCUUACUCUGUCACCCAGGCUGAAGUGCAGUGGUGCGAUCAUAGCUCACUGCAUCCUUGACCUCCUGGGCUCAAGUGAUCCUCCCACCUCAGCCUCCCAAGUAGCUGGGACUACAGGUGUGCACCACCAUGCCCGGGUAAUUAAAUUUUUUUUUUUUGUAGAGAUGGGGUCUCGCUAUGUUGCCCAGGCUGGUCUCAAACUCCUGGCCUAAAGCAAUCCUCCAGCCUCAGCCUCCCAAAGUGCUGGGAUGACAGGAGUGAGCCGACACACCCAUCCGAAAGAGGCAACUUUUUUUUUUUUCUUUCAGAGGCAGAGUCUUGCUCUGUCAGCCAGCCUGGAGUGCAGUGGCGUGAUCUCAGCUCACUGCAGCCUUCACAUCUCGGAUACAAGCGAUUCUCCUGCCUUAGCCUCUUGAGCUGGAACUACAGGCACAUACCACCAUGCCCGGAUUGUAACGAGCCGUGUCCCCUUUGUGGGUACCCUUUAUCUUCUCCGCAUCCAACAACCCAGUUUGGACUGGUGUUCAACUGGAAUUCAAGGGCCCACAUUGCCCGGUCCAAGCCAUGUUUUGGAAAAGGAUGACGAAUGAUCUACAGCCUCCUCUGAGUAAAUGAAAUCACAUCUUCAAAGCCCAUUUUAUGUAAAAGGACAUUCUCAUCCUGGAACAGUUGUGGAAGGCUAUUUUUAAAACUGUCAGGAAGCGUCUGGGAAACAAAGAAACUGCCUCUUGAAAUAAUGGAGUCAAUAUUUCUGCCUCUUAUCAGAUCAAGUUCCUUUGAAACAUGCUCCUUUUUUUUUUUUUCCAAAAUUUUCCCCAAAGUUACUAGGACCUGUACAAAUUGUAUCAUGAGCUGUUUUUGGAAAAAUAUAAAAGGAAAUGGAAAUAUGA